GACGAACGCUGGCGGCGUGCUUAACACAUGCAAGUCGAACGGAAAGGCCCUGCUUUUGUGGUGUGCUCGAGUUGCGAACGGGUGAGUAACACGUGAGUAACCUUCCCUUGACUUUGGGAUAACUUCAGGAAACUGGGGCUAAUACCGGAUAGGAGCUCCUGCUGCAUGGUGGGGGUUGGAAAGUUUCGUCGGUUGGGGAUGGACUCGCGGCUUACUAGCUUGUUGGUGGGGUAGUGGCUUACCAAGGCUUUGACGGGUAGCCGGCCUGAGAGGGUGACCGGCCACAUGGGGACUGAGAUACGGCCCAGAGUCCUGCGGGAGGCAGCAGUGGGGAAUAUUGAACGAUGGGCGGAAGCCUGAUGCAGCAACGCCGCGUGAUGGAUGACGACCUGCGGGUGGUAGACCGCAUUCGCCGGUGACGAAGCGUGAGUGACGGUAAUGGGUAAAGAAGCACCGGCUAACUACGUG
rnacentral:rRNA from 1 species